GUAAUAAUACGUUAAAAACAGUCCUAGGUAGGAGAGCACACAUAACCAAGAUGACCAGUCUGGCUCUGUCUGGGUUUUUUUUUAACCCAUGCCUUUCCCCAUGAUAUUUUGUGCCUCAGAGAUGUGGCUGAGUUAUUCAGCAGUGCCAAGUCCCUCUCCUCCUGCUCCAGAUGUUUUCUCAGCAGGCAACAACGUAAAGAGUUUUUGAAAAGGAACUAAACAGGUGCUGUGCUGUGAGGGCACCACUCCUCAUUCCUCACACCCACUGCAUAUUUCCCAGAUGAUUUGUCAGAGGAAACCAUAACAGGGAUUGGCAACAAUGCUUCUGACAUUAAUCUGUAUAAAGAAACAAUCAAGGCAAACUCUAAGCAAGAUGUAAUUUCAACAUUAGUCAGUUUGUCUCAAGCGGAUACUACAAGCAGAUACUCUCCAAAGAGAUCUCAUACCUCAAGAAGACCAUUUGCACCCAGAAGUACUGCAGAUUUGAAAGUUGGAAACCUGGUGAAAUUUUCAUGCCCAGCAGGAAAGAUAAGCAAAGGAACUAUCAAAUAUUUAGGACCACUAUUUGGAAGAGAAGAUAGUUAUCUUGGAAUAGAACUGGAAGGUGAUCAAGUGGGCAGGCAUGAUGGAAUUUUUGAAGGAACACGCUACUUUCUUUGUGAACCUAAUAAAGGAGUUUUUGUUAACUUCAACAAAGUUAUUAUUGCCUGGGAAUAAUGAAUCCAUCAUACUUCAAAUGAUGAACAACAUGUGGAUAUUAACAUCAUCAGUCACGUUUACCUUGGCUGCAUAGAAGAAAGCAUCUAAAAUUGACUGAUCGUCAGACAUCAGUGUAUUUUGCACCAUUCUUAUCAAACCCUGUUUAAGUUUUUUCUAGUACUAUAUAGCUAAAUAAAAGUAUAUUUGUACCAUUAAAAUAAAUGUGAAUAGAAUGAAGUUAUAACAGGAUACAACCACCAUCUAGACAAUUGGCUCAAAGGUAUUUUACCUCAGUUUAUGCUAUUUAUAAAUUUAUGUUGAGAAUGGAUUGCGCGAACAAGAUGUGCAGAGAUAUGGCUGUCAUGAAUUGUGGAUUGAGACUAUUAAGUGAAAUACAGCAGCAACUACAGAAACAGCUUUUUCCCUGUGUGAUCAGAAAUGAGCAUCUGUGCAUAAGAUGUUCUGUUUGAAGUAGCCAGUGGUAGCAAUCAAACAAUGUAGAGACAUAGGUUUGUUCUUCUUUCCUGCUAGCAAAAAACAAAAAAACAAACAAAAUCUAAGGGAAAGGAAGAUGUUAAAGCCCACAUACACAAUAUGACUAAUGCCAUAUUUGACUCACAAUACUUCCCCAAAGGGGGGGGGGGAAUGGAGCUGCUACCAAAUAUCUGGGGUCCACAGAAAUACAGGCCACGAUCAAAAGAACUCCAUAUGCAUUACUUUCAGCCAAGACAGGCAACUAUAGCCCUCCAAAUACUUUUGGCCAACAUAAGCCCUAGGCAGCACCAUAGUCAACGAUGGCUGUGUGUGAGAGUUGCAAUCCAAAAACAUCUGCCCAUCUGUAUAAACACU